rnacentral:rRNA from 1 species
GGCGCGCUCUGCGCGCACCGGCGGACGGCUCAGUAACACGUCGGUAACCUACCCUCGGGAGGGGGAUAACCCCGGGAAACUGGGGCUAAUCCCCCAUAGGCCUGGGGUACUGGAAGGUCCCCAGGCCGAAAGGGGCUUUUGCCCGCCCGAGGAUGGGCCGGCGGCCGAUUAGGUAGUUGGUGGGGUAACGGCCCACCAAGCCGAAGAUCGGUACGGGCCAUGAGAGUGGGAGCCCGGAGAUGGACACUGAGACACGGGUCCAGGCCCUACGGGGCGCAGCAGGCGCGAAACCUCCGCAAUGCGGGCAACCGCGACGGGGGGACCCCCAGUGCCGUGGCACAGCCACGGCUUUUCCGGAGUGUAAAAAGCUCCGGGAAUAAGGGCUGGGCAAGGCCGGUGGCAGCCGCCGCGGUAAUACCGGCGGCCCAAGUGGUGGCCGCUAUUAUUGGGCCUAAAGCGUC